rnacentral:rRNA from 1 species
AUAUCACUAAGGGGAGGAAAAGAAAUUAACUAAGAUUGCCUCAGUAACGGCGAGUGAAGCGGCAAAAGCCCAAACUGGAAAUCUUCGUACUUCGUACGACGAAUUGUAAUCUAGAGGCUGGAAACUCACCUUACGGAGACGCAGAAGUUGCUUAGAAUAGCACGCCAUAGAGGGUGACAGCCCCGUAUGUGGUGUCUCUGUAUAACGAGUUCUAGUUGAAGAGUCGGGUUGUUUUGAAUUGCAGCCCUAAGCGGGAGAUAGACUUCUUCUAAGGCUAAAUAUAUAUGGGAGACCGAUAGCGCACAAGUA